GCACUGGAAGUUCCAUGUCCUGGGAGUCUCCUCAGUCCUAGGCAACAGGAAUGGCGGGUCACCCUGUCAGGAAGGACAUUGACCUCCUUGACACUCUUCUUCCAGGCAGCAUCUAUUGACUUGUGAAGGUGCCCCCAGGGCUGAGAACGUGCCCCCAGGGCUGAGAACGUCUGUCUGGUUCUUUGCUGCCUCCCAGGGCCCAGAACAUUCUGACACAGGUAAGGACCACGACACCAGAAGCUCAGGACAAUGAAGUGGCUCCCCUAAGUUCUCACAGCUGGCCAGGGGCGGAUAUGGGUUUCAGCCCAGGUCAGUUUGGC